AGGGAAAGUUGAGAGACCAGAGGCAGCCGUGGGAAUGGUCCAAGUCCUUUCUGAGCGCGGCUUUCAGGGUUAAAGUCCCGGAAUCGGAGGCAUACCCCAAUAAAAUAAAGAGGCAACCCGGCGAUACCGACUAUCUCACCAGCCACUGCACCUAUAGGACUUGGAGACGUCACGAGUCACGCAACCGGCCCGCGCGCUGUCACGCUCGACUGGGGGCAGCGGCGGGAGGUUAAUUUCUCUCCGUCUUCGCCUAUGACUUCGGGGUCUGCGCAGCCACAGGUCCCAGACGCCUCAGCCACGGGAAUAAAUAAAGAAAUAAACAAACCCAGGGCCCUCUGGGGAAUGGGGUGGCAAACAUCGGACACAAAUAGAGCCAAGAUCGACUGGGGGGGGGGGGGGGAGCGACUCAGCGAAGGAGGUGGGAGCCCACCUCAGCCUACGAUUGGAAAGAAAGCAAGUUGUUUCGGGUGGAACGAGGUCUCUUACAGCAGGCAAGACAGUCUUAUUAUUUAAAAAAAAAAAAUUCUUUUCAAGGAGGAGCUCUCGGCAAAUGAAUAUCGAGGCACCUCCCUAGCUGGUUACGUUUGGGACGCGAUAACUCGGGGCCGCUUCCAGACCUGCGUAGAAGUAAUUACUGGGUUAUCACGGAGGGGAAAAGAGACCGACGUUAGCACGUUAGGACGAAGAGAGUCGUCCGCAAUCUUUCUUGCUGAGAAAAAGUCCAUUCGCAAGCUAGGUCCGGGGAUGCAACUGGUCCCCCGCGUGGCCCGGCGGGGGCGGGGUGCGAGUGGGUGGUGGGGUGGGUGGAGAGGAGCGAUUUCUGCGGAGAAAAAUUAAAGCGCUGGGGCCUGCAGAGGGACGAGGUGCUCUGUUUUGUUUUGUAAUAAGGGUUAUUGUUUUUUGGUCUCGUCAAUGGGCAUGAUUGCUAAGCAGCCCCGGGGCUUGCGCGCGCGAGCUUCCGCGUGCAGCUGGAAAUGCGCUAGGUUCAGUAGCGAAACGUACUGCGUAGACGCCCCCGGCGGCGCCGAGAGAAGAGCCAGGCCCGCCUAGCACGGAGCGAGCGAGCGCCGGGCCUUCUGGAAGGGUAAGUUCCCCGCCAAGGCGUCCCCGAGGGAGCCAGACGUCGGAAUCCAGACUCGCCCCCAGCUUCAGGGUUCGAUGCCGGGUUUCACGCGCCCCCAGCCCCCAGGGCUUUCCGCAGCAUGGCCUGGCUCCAGGCCCGGUCCGUCUGGGGCUGAAGCGGCAGCGAAAAGUGCAGGAACGCAGCCGACCGAGCGGCCCCAGGAGCUGAGGUCAGGCUCGCGGGGAGAGCGGGCAGUGGUUUCCAGCGCCGGACGCGGACGCCAGGGUCCCCCGGGCCGCAGACUCUGCAGCUUCGAGCAAGCAGAACCCGCGUCCCUCCUCUCGGCCAGGCCACAGGGGCGUCCCCAAGCUUGGCUUUCGUUUCCCAAGGUAUUAAUAAUUAUCUUUUCCCCAAUGUGAGGCCCGUUGGGUGCAGCGUUUGCUCCCAGAUGCCAAGAGCCGAACGCGAAAUCCUUCGCCUAAAGCCUUGAGAGGAGUUCUUAUUUGACCUCUGGGCCAAGGUGGGCCAGAACCGGAGGCCUGGGCUCCGCUGGGGCUGGAAGGGGAAGGCGAAACUCCGAGCGGGGCGAGUUCCUUUCCAUUUGGCUCCCUUUUCUCGCAUCCCUGCACAGGCCCCGCAACCCCCCUGGUCUGGCUCACAAAGGAUUCCGCAAACUCAGCUUCCCGGACCCACUUUCCCAGCCGCUCCGGAGGGCGCGCUGCGGAUAGAAGAAAACAACGACCUAGGUUUGAGAAUCUCCGUUCUUUCCCCCAACCAUUGGGCAGUCAACUCAACUCGAGGCAGAGGCGGCAGCACGCGACCUCCUUUCCUUCUUUCGGAGGUUUAAUGCUUUCCCCGACCAGCUUCCAGCUCCAUUUUCUCCCGACAUGUAUUUUCCUCAUUUUGCCAAAUCCCUGCCCUGAUUUUAAUGCCGCCAUGCAUCGGAGAGCAGAGGUUCCCAUCUGAAAAUCAAAACCCAAACAAAAGCGAGGGCCGACCGCUGUCGAUGUUUUUUCUUCAUUCUUUCCUUCUGUUUUUAAGAAAGUCGCCUUCAAAACCACCAUGUUUCUUUCCUCUCAAAAGAGAACUCGCGCAAGAAUCCACUCCCUUUCCAUUUUUUUCCCAUGUGUCCCCGCCUGACUCGGGUCUCUGCUGAAGGCGAAAAGUACGCAGAAGUUCGGAUGGGACCGGGAAAAUUAAUAACCAUCAUAACAAUAGAGAUGGUAACAAAACUAAACUUUGGCCAAGUCAUUUUGCGAAAGCAAGGGUCAGCCUGAGGCUGGGAAGUUCUCAGGGGGUCACUUUCCCUCCUGCCUAGUUAAAUCCGGCUCUGUUAUAUUUUUUCCAGGACUGCAGUAUCUCCCUUCCCAAUGUUUUAUUGGGUUCCUAGUUCCUAGCCACCGCCCCUCCCUUCUGACCAGAAGGAUUUGAGAAGAAUACUAACUGUUGUCAUUAUUUUGAUAUUCAAUAUUCCCCAAUAUGUCCACCAAUAAUUAUUACUCCUUAUUUUACUUAUUAUUAUUCAUGUUGAUGCUGCUUUCUGUGCUUUGGAAAUAUGCCUCCUCUCUCCCCCAAGUUCAGCAGAUGAGAUUUUUUUUCCCCCUUGGUUGGGGUAAUGAGAUGAGAAAUAGAAGUGGAAACAUCCUUCUAGAAGCCCAGCUGAGACAUCAGUGCUGGAGAUUUGCGGGCUCCACUGGAACAGAGAAGGCGCCCGGGCCGUGAGCACCACAGCGGGUCUCCUCUGGCCUCCUGCUGCUGGGUUUCUGGCCUUUGGGGACGCGGCCUCGAUAGAAGGGUCCGGAAGCGGGGACCACAGAUGCCUUGCCCCCCAUCACAAUCCCUCCCGGAAAACACUGGGCUGAAACUGACAGAGGCUCGCCCUGGGGUGCAACGGACCGAGGUCCCCGGUGGAGAAGUUCCUGGCGAUUGUUUCCGCAAGGGCCCUUCGGUUUCCUGGUCUCCAUGGCAACCCCGGAGUCCCGUCGAACGCUCUCAACAAUGGGGCGCCCCGAGGACAAUCGCGCACUUGCUCUGCGAGCUCUGUGUCCUGCAGGGCGCUUCCGCCCGUCGCUCUUGGCUUUCCGGAGCCACUUAGGUAGAUUCAACACGAAAGGGAUUGAAAAACUACCCCCCCUUUUUUUUUAAACGGAGGAGAAAAAUCGAGAUUUAGUAGAAUCUCUGCUGGCUAGGGUCGUGUCCUGAGCAAAAGCCCCCACUUGGAGUUCAGAGCGAUGACCUCGGAGACGCGCGCGCGGGCGGCGGGCAGGAUGGUUUCAUCGAAGCCCGCACCUCGAGCAUCUCCACCGGGAACCUGGGACUCUAGGAGUCUCGGAAUCUCUCCACAUCUGCUGCCCGUCUCAUCCGCACCCGACGCUCCCCGCAUCCAACCAAGCGACCCCUUCGCUUGCCUGGAAUAACUUCUAAAUGGAAGGAGAGAAGUCGGGAACUAGAAAUAGUGGCAUUAAGGUCUGCAAGGUCUUUAUGAGGGAAAGAAUACAUUAUACGUUUCCUUUUAGAGAAAACAUUUUCCAUUGUGGAUGUAAUAUAAAUAACAUUAAAAUAAUAUU